rnacentral:misc_RNA from 1 species
GCCUGUUCGAGCGUCAUUUAUACCAAUCUAGCCUAGCUAGGUGUUGGGCUUCGCCGUCUGGCGGGCCUUAAAACUAGUGGCGGUGCUCUUAAGCUCUACGCGUAGUAAUUUUCUCGCUAUAGGGUCUUGGGAGAUGCUUGCCAGCAACCCCAAUUUUUUAGGUUGACCUCGGAUCAGGUAGGGAUACCCGCUGAACUUAA